rnacentral:sRNA from 1 species
CAGCAGCAAAGAAUGAGAUGCUCAUGAAGAGUUUUGCACUCGCUUGGGCGAUUGGGCAGCGGGAAAGGAGCUCUGUUGCCAGAAAUAGAGCAGACUAACGGAGUAAGCUCCAUUACGAUGCAACACGUCCAUCGCCGUAACUCUGGUAAAUCAUGGCGGUGCUCAGCCAUUCGCGCCAUCUUUGAACUAGCGCAGUGGACCAUGCGAUGUCUAUAUUAUUUGGAUGCAGUUGUAUAUUAGGUAGGCGGAGUGGAUAUUUGUGGAAGAUAUCAAAUGCCUACCGCCCUGCGAAAGUUUUCGUUCCCUUGUGAUCGGCCGUCCAGCCAUUUGAUCUUCUCAAUCUUCAGUUGCCUGCUGCCAGGUUAGCCGACAAGCUAAGCACUUUUAAACGAGGCUUAUUCAAUUUUAACACCUGUUUCACCUUUGAACAAAACAAAGCCCUCAGAAUAAAGGGGACAUGAUUUGGCGUGACGUUGAGCUCUUGAAACUCCCCAGCGAUUUGACCAUCUGGUAUUGACACAAUGAUUGUUUGGCAUUGAUAUUCUAAACACUUGACGAAGAUAACUCUUCAUUGUUUCCUUUUUUUUUUUAUUAUUUUUAUCUGUUGUUGCUACAGAUAUUUCUUUGUAGCAAGCAGUUUAUUGCCUCUGAUUUUGUUUGUGCUUCCCUCCGCUUCAUUCAAAGGAAAAGCAGCUCAUUCUUCUCGGGGGAUCAUAUCUCUCCCCCCCUGCUGAAAAUGUCGCUUCUUUAUAUUGACAGGAAACUGAUUUCCUAUCUUCCUUCAAAUAUGGCAGGAUAUCCUGGCUUCACUUAUCCCACUCUUGUGGCUGUUCCUAUAGUUCAGAUAAACCCCUC